CUUCGUAGCUCAUCUGGUAGAGCAAUUUGUUUGGGACAAAUUUGUAGCUGGUUCGAAUCCAGUCGAAG
rnacentral:tRNA from 1 species